rnacentral:lncRNA from 1 species
CAUUACUGUCACCAGCUGCUAAAAAUGCAGGAGUUAAUCCUGCUAUUGCUGUCACUAUCCCCAAGAGGUGCAACAUCAAGAAUAGACCUGUUGGGAAGAGAUGUGGACGAUAUGUUGUUCCAUGAGUUUAGAAUUCUCAACUUGUAUGGAGGAAUAAAGACGAUUUCCAGCUACUUGACUAUUAUGUUUCACAAAUAUAAGUUAAGUUUACUGAUGAAUAAAAGCUAUUUUACUAGACAAACGAAUUUAAUUUAUAUCAUUUAAUAAUAGGUUUGCUAUACAUGAUAAAAUAAAAACAUGGAGCUUUACGUAAUAUUAAACACUUUAGAAUAUGCGUGAAUGUUUACAACUAGUAAUCUCAGGAAAAAUGUAAGUGACUUCCUGAAAUCAAUGGCGUAGGCAGGAUUUUUGGUUAGUCAUGAUGUCAAAGUUUGAAGAAAUGAAAUGAAAAUGACAAGUGGUGUAAUUUUAAUAUUUAUACCCAAUAUUUUUAUUUGGUAUACUAUGUAUAAAUAUAUUUACCAGAAAUUUCAACAAUCCUGAAAUUGUAAUUUUAUCUAAUACAAGAAAAGAUACAAUUAAAACACGAAGUCUAAUAUAAUUCCAUAUGGGAAUGCUGUCUAUUUUGUUCUUUGACGUUCGUACUUUGCAUUUAAUUUGACACUUUGUCUACAUGAAUCUAUGGGCUCAAAUUGAGUCUAAAUGAAUCUUUGGGCCUUUUUGAAUGUAUAGAGAAGGGAAAGGUAUAUGGGCUUUAAAACAAAAAUACUAGGCCCAUUUGUUCAAAAGCCCACUUCAAAUGGCUACCCAUUUAGGCUUUCUCUUAUUUUUCUGCAAGGCAUAUCAGGGUCCUAAUCAAAUUAUUUUCUUGUAACCUUUGCAGGAUAUGUUGUUCCAUGAGUUUAGAAUUCUCAACUUAUAUGGAGGAAUAAAGACGAUUUCCAGCUACUUGACUAUUAUGUUUCACAAAUAUAAGUAUUUCCAGUCUACUAUUAAAUAAAAGUGUUGCUAGUUUGGUGUUAAAAAAAAAAGAAUGUUGUUCCAUGAGUUUAGAAUUCUCAACUUGUAUGGAGGAAUAAAGACGAUUUCCAGCUACUUGACUAUUAUGUUUCACAAAUAUAAGUAUUUCCAGUCUACUAUUAAAUAAAAGUGUUGCUAGUUUGGUGUUCCUUAAUGUAAUCAUCUAUACUUCUAUAGUUCCAUUAACCAUAUUUGGAUGACUAAAUAUGGCAUAAAAAUCAGGGCAUCCUAAUAUUUGCACCUAAAAAAUAGUGUCAUUUUGCACUUUCAUUUUUACCUUAUUUGGUAUUUUCAUGGUACAUUUUUUUACCCCACUCUACUUGCUUCUAGCAUACCGAUAUUGUAAGAUUUCGAUGGCAACUAAGGAAUUUUAUCUGGAAUAAUUUGAUAAGAAAUAGAUGUUUUAUCUCAA